CAGCCCAUUUUCCCUCAAAUUCUAAUUUUCUCUUUGUAUCGUUUCCUUACCCUUCAAACUCAUCUGCUCCAUUCGUUUACCCUGUAAGAAAGUUGCAGAGGAUGUUUCCAUUCAUUCCAAGAUAACAGAAAGCCAACACAAGAGCAGAAAGCCAACACAAGGGAAAACACAGAGGUAACGAAUGGAACAAAUGAGUUUGAAGGAUAAGGAAGAGACACAAAGAAAAUUAGUGUUGGAGGGAUAUUUUUGUUUGGAAUGAGUGAUCUUCUGGGCUAUUAAAAGUGGAAGGUUAUAUUUGCAAUUUAAAGGGAAUUUUAUCCUUUUUUUUUUAUCGGUUAUCUUUUAAAAAAGUAUAAAUAUUAGGGGUUUUUGUUUUCUUAACUGUCUUUGCCUUUCGGUUCAUAGCUCAAUAAUCAUCAUUGUAAGCCUUUCUUUCUCUAUAUCUAGGUUUCAAUUUCUGAAGCUCCAAAUUGAAUUUUAGUGUUCAAUUUGUGAAAUUCCAAAUUGAAUUUCUCAUUUGAUCAUGUGUUGAUCUCAUCGUUAUUCACAUUUCUCAUCUUUCAACGAUCUGAUCGACCAUACAUACAUGUAUAGACUUGCAUAUGCUUAUUUAAGCAAUGGAAGGUUGGGAAUUUCAAGGGAAAAUGAAACAAUGGUAACUUGUUUGGCAGGAUUAAUUUUAUUAAGCAAAGACCUGAGGGUUGAACAGAGCUUCAAAGAUCUUGAGGAGGCGUUUGAAACUGGGCAAAGAAUUCAGAUUCAAUGCAGUUGUUCAGCUUCAAGAAAUGGAUUGAAUGAACUAUGAACUUUGAUUCUCCAUUGAAAGUUUUGUAGUUUUUAAGGUUACAUUACAUAGAAGAAGCUUGUGUGCCAUCUGAUCCCGUGUUUUAAUUGAGAGUUGGGGAUUCAUUUC